rnacentral:ncRNA from 14 species
UGUAUAGCUCAGCUGGUUAGAGCGUGGAGCUAAUAACUCCAAGGUCCUGGGUUCGAUCCCCAGU